rnacentral:lncRNA from 1 species
GACAUAUCAAUCACUAUACACACCCCACCACAAAUCACGCCCAAAAAUCCCCAACCUUUAUCCUCUCCAUUGCAGCAGCGAUCAAGAAGAAAUCAAGAAUUGAUUCCAAGAAAUCUUCUUUCAUUGCAAAUCGACUACAUAAUCUCAUCCUGUGAUUUUCUCCAUAUAUUAUGUCCGAAAAUCCAUUUUUUAAAUCGUAAUUUUUGAAAUUCUAGAAUUGCAGACUCAAAGGGCAGGGGCAAACAGAUCUUGAAAUCGAACAUUCCCCAUUAUAGUGUCAUGAUGCAAUAGAAUUUGUCCUAACUUACAUGUCUCUAAGGAGUAUAUGAUGAGGGAGCUCUGUUUCUACCGUUUAACUUUUCUUGUUUGCUUCUUGGAGGAAUAGAAGUAAAGUACUCACCAAUAUGUAAAUUUUAACAAGAUUAAAGUGCUGCUCGUUAGAUGUUUUCUGUUCAUAUCGUGUAAAUAUUUCCAGAAAGUUCCUUACAAAAUGAUGUAUUGAACUUUAGUUUUCCAGCUUAGUUGGCGUUCCUUCUGUAAGCUUUUUAAUAAGCUGUUUAAAAUGUAAAUAAUUUAAGAUAAUUUCUUUGGCUGUGAUCAGGAAUCUCAGUGGUUGUUUUUCCUUGACAUUAUGAUCAAUUAUGUAAAAUUUAUGUUCAAAACUUGUAUAUCUCCUCUUUUGUUAAAAUUCUUUUGAUUUUACGAAUGGAUUAUAAGAAAUGUUCAGUAGCCUAAUGCAAAAAGGAACGGGAUGUAUAUGCUUCUAUUUAUCAGUGUAUUUGAUAUAUUUUAAUCUUCAUUUCAUGGUAACACAGAUUAGAAGUUAUAUCACAUUUAAAUUCUAUUCAAAUAUCUUCAAAUUUCUAUACUCAUUUUGCUUCACAAAUUAAUUGUUGCAGCACCUAACAUGUUAUAUUUCACAUUGAUGUAGCCUCAAUUGUGAUCUUUACGUGAUUAAGUUUUGCAUGAUACAUUAUAAAUCAGAAGAUUGAUGUCAGGGCAGAAAUUUUGAUGCGAACAUCUCGAGGUCACACUUGGCACCUUAACUAUUCAAGCACGGAGGUGACAAUCAGAUUGAAGGUUAUGAGAUGGAGAUCGAACUUGUACCAUAGAGUGCGAGGAGGGAGAGGAAUUUAAAGGGUUUGCUUAUUUCAUGACAAUCGUUAGUUUCUGUUAGCUUAUUUUGAUUAGUAAUUGAAUUGUACUAUCAUCACUGAACGGUAUGUUAGAUUACAUUAUGUAGUACAGUAGCUUCGUUUUUGUGUUAUAGAUCACAUCUCGAAUCCUUUUCUUGCAGUGCUUUGAC